rnacentral:rRNA from 1 species
CCUACGGGCGGCAGCAGUGAGGAAUCUUGGUCAAUGGUCGGGAGACUGAACCAGCCAAGCCGCGUGAGGGAUGAAGGUACAGAGUAUCGUAAACCUCUUUUGUCAGGGAACAAAGGCGGGGACGUGUCCCCGGAUGAGUGUACCUGAAGAAAAAGCAUCGGCUAACUCCGUGCCAGCAGCCGCGGUAAUACGGAGAAUGCGAGCGUUAUCCGGAUUUAGUGGGUUUAAAGGGUGCGCAGGCGGUCUGUUGAGUAAGCGGUCAAAGCCCGGGGCUCAACCCCGGCCCGCCGUUGAAACUGGCAGUCUCGAGUUGGAGAGAAGUAUGCGGAAUGCGCGGUGUAGCGGUGAAAUGCAUAGAUAUCGCGCAGAACUCCGAUUGCGAAGGCAGCAUGCCGGCUCCACACUGACGCUGAGGCACGAAAGCGUGGGUAUCGAACAGGAUUAGAUACCCUAUC